CAGUCGCCGCGGGAAUACGAAGGGUGCAAGCGUUAAUCGGAAUUACUGGGCGUAAAGCGUGCGUAGGCGGUUUGUUAAGUCUGCUGUGAAAUCCCCGGGCUCAACUUGGGAAUGGCAGUGGAUACUGGCAAGCUAGAGUGUGUCAGAGGAUGGUGGAAUUCCCGGUGUAGCGGUGAAAUGCGUAGAGAUCGGGAGGAACAUCAGUGGCGAAGGCGGCCAUCUGGGACAACACUGACGCUGAGGCACGAAAGCGUGGGGAGCAAACAGGAUUAGAUACCCCCGUAGUCCCUGUCUCUUAUAU
rnacentral:rRNA from 1 species